GAUUGCUUUGUAAUAGCUAGUUUAACUCCUUUUAUGGGCUUAUUUAUGCAUUUGGUAACAAAUUAACGUUUCAUGGGAAGCCCAUGAUUAACGUCCGGCCCGGGCUAAAAAGUACUGUUCAUUAGCUCUUAUGAAACCAGGGGGGACCCUUGGUUUAUUAAACUGGAGAGAGAAAGUAGUUCAAGAUUAAAAAAUUCCUUACAACUCUACCCCCGAAAAUCAAAUUGAUAUUUUAGGUUUUCUGCCGCUCAUUUGCAAAUCGAAAUUUUUGUCCAUUUUCCAGAGGCGCUGCGUAGGAGGUUUCCGACUUCUAACAAAAAUAUUUUGAAGAUUAUAUCUCUGGGGUUUGCUGAUUUUGUGGUGUUCUGGUGUAUUUUACUUCGGCGACGCGCCGACUAGGGUUAUCAACGUCAAAUACAAUGUCAACUUUGGGGCAUAAGAAAGCGUGUAUAUGUCUUGCUGUAGAAGAAAUUCUCCAUGAGCAAAUGUUGCAAUUGACUGUUGUUCUCGAUUACGUCGAGAAGGCAAAGUCACGAAAAAGAAAACGUAAUGGGAGGAGUGUAGCUUAUCGUAUAUUACACAGAAUACCAGAUCAAGUGAAGCACUUGAAUCGAAUUAUAGAUAUCAAUGAUGUUGAUUGUGUUACAAAU